CACGGCGCACGGGUGCGUAACACGUGGGCAAUCUGCCCUCUGAUGGGGAAUAACCCCGCGAAAGCGGGGCUAAUACCGCAUAACAUUCCGGGAACCACGGUUUCCGGAAUCAAAGCCGUAAGGCGUCGGAGGUGGAGCCCGCGCACGAUUAGCUAGUUGGCAGGGUAACGGCCUACCAAGGCAAUGAUCGUUAGCUGGUCUGAGAGGAUGGCCAGCCACACUGGAACUGAGACACGGUCCAGACUCCUACGGGAGGCAGCGGUGGGGAAUCUUGCGCAAUGGGCGAAAGCCUGACGCAGCGACGCCGCGUGGGGGAUGAAGCUCUUCGGAGUGUAAACCCCUUUCGACCGGGAAGAAUACCUCGCAAGAGGGGUGACGGUACCGGUAGAAGAAGCCCCGGCUAACUACGUGCCAGCAGCCGCGGUAAGACGUAGGGGGCCAGCGUUGCUCGGAAUUACUGGGUGUAAAGGGUUCGUAGGCGGUGCGGCAAGUCGGGAGUGAAAUCCUUGGGCUCAACUCAAAGGCUGCUUCCGAAACUGCUGUGCUCGAGUGUGGGAGAGGCGCGUGGAAUUGCAGGUGUAGCGGUGAAAUGCGUAGAUAUCUGCAGGAACACCCGUGGCGAAAGCGGCGCGCUGGACCAUUACUGACGCUGAGGAACGAAAGCUAGGGGAGCAAACAGGAUUAGAUACCCUGGUAGUCCUAGCCCUAAACGAUCAGGACUUGGGGUGCCACCCGUUCGGGUGUCGUCCCGGAGCUAACGCGUUAAGUCCUGCACCUGGGGAGUACGGUCGCAAGACUGAAACUCAAAGGAAUUGACGGGGGCCCGCACAAGCGGUGGAACAUGUGGUUCAAUUCGA
rnacentral:rRNA from 1 species